GUAAAAGCUGACGGUUUCAUUGAUUCUUUUAAUCGUUUCAUUGUUUCUUCUUUUAAUCUUUGCCUCACUUUACGUUUCCGUAAAUUAAAGCAUAUUGCUCAAUAAUCGGCCCUGUCGCUUCAAUUCCUUCAUAAAACAAGUUGUCUUUGGACUUCGACGUUACGGUCGUUUUUUUUCUUGUUUUUUUUUCACUCUGACGGGUGCAUCGCAUUCUGAGAUGGAUGCAGCAAAGUUAUUCUUCAAAGAGAUUGACGAUGCUGUCUCUACAUAUGAGAAAGCAGCAAGAGAGAUGAAAAGUGAAGUUGAGGGUCUUAAAAAAAGAGCUGAGGAUGAUGCACCAUCAGAGUCUGCAAUGAAAGGGAAUGACAUUGAAGUUAUUGAGCAAUCUCCUGAAGGCGAAAUGGAGGAAAUAUGUGAGAAAAAACAAAGCAAAAGAGUAAGAGAUGAAAAUGGAGCUCAAGAGGUGAAAUGUGAUGAUGAGUUGGAUGAAGAGCCAGCAGACUGCUCAUUGUCCUUCCUUCCUCAACUUGGAAAGUCAUCUUUGCAACCCAGGUCAGUGAAAUUUCAUUGGGAAUCAGAUGAAUCAGUGAACCUCUCUAAAAAUCUAAACUUUGACUUGGAAAAACCAUCAAACAAAGUACAAAAGCAGAAGAUUGUGGUUGAUCCAAUGCUCACACCUUCAACCCCAGAAUGUCUGAAAGAAUCCCAUCCUGUAAAAACGACUGCCCAUAAUUUUGAAGUCUCAUCGCUUGAACAAAAAGGUGAACCAUUGGUCACACCGCCAACCCCAGAAUUUUUGAAAGAGUCCCUUCUGGGAAAAACGGUCACCCAUGAUGCUGACGUCUCAUCACUUGAGCACGGGAAUAGGAGGUCUCCUCUGCUUUUGACACCCCGUCUGCCUGAAGCACUGCUGACAACUUUACCUCCAGAAUUGGACCCUGUUUCCUAACUUGAGGUAGGUGAUUUAUGAUAUCCAGGUGUUUUUUUUUUUUACUAUUUUGACAAUUUUUUAGUUUGGAUAAGCAAUGAGUAAAU
rnacentral:lncRNA from 1 species